GAAAUCCCAAGCACACUCUUUCGUCCUUCGCUUGUCAAGUCUGCAAUGCCCAGAAAUUAUCUUUCUGCCUUUUCUCAUUCCGUUGUCAUUCUAUAUAGAAUAGCAUAGCAAUAGAAAUCAGCUUAAUUAUCUUGUUUGCCUUAUGAAAUGGGAAGUAGCAGCGGAAGCGAUGUGGAAGCAGGAUUCGCCAAGCUACAAGGCGAAGAUUUCGAGUAUUACAUGCAGACAUACUCCAUAGUCCUCGGCCGCAACUCCAAGAAGUCAACCGUCGAUGUUGACUUAUCCUCUCUCGGCGGCGGAAUGAACAUCUCACGUCACCACGCUCGUAUCUUCUACGACUUCCAACGCCGUCGUUUUGCCCUCGAAGUAUUGGGGAAGAACGGUUGUUUCGUUGAAGGUGUCCUCCAUCUCCCCGGUAACCCGCCGGUGAAACUAGAUUCACAGGAUUUACUUCAGAUCGGAGAUAAGGAGUUCUAUUUCCUUCUUCCAAUUCGUAGUAUUUUAGGUGGACCAAUUGGGCCUAGACAUCAUGUGAAUGUGAACUAUCCAGCAGGGGGUUCUCCUAUGCUGCCGCAUCAUCAGCCGCAUAUGCCCUUGCCUCCACCAGUGGGUUAUGGUGGGGUAGGGAAGAAGGGUUUCUUAAGAGGGAGGGAGUAUUAUGAAGAGGAGUAUGAUGAUGAUGAUGGUGGGGAAGCUGGUUCUGGAACUAAGAAGAUGAGGAGAGGGGAUGGUAUUGAGGGUGGUGGGUAUGGAUAUGGCUCUGGUGGUUCUAGUGGGAAGAUUGCGGUUCCUGCGCAUCUGGAUAAGAAGAUAGAUGGAAUAUCACGUGUUGAAAGAGAUGCUGACAACCAACAGCUGAUGCAGUUAGAAGAGAAGGACGUUGUAUCAUCUGUAGCAAAUGUGCUUUCUGACCUCUGCGGUCCAGGAGAAUGGAUGCCAAUGGAGAAGCUUCAUGCUGAGUUGGUGGAACACUACGGCAAUACCUGGCACCAUAGUCGUGUGAGGAGAUACUUGACAUCUGAGGACUAUCCUAGCGCUGAAGCUAAAUCCAAGCCAUGGUAUGGAUUGCUGAUGCUUUUGAGAAAAUACCCAGAGCAUUUU
rnacentral:misc_RNA from 1 species